AACGAACGCUGGCGGCAUGCCUAACACAUGCAAGUCGAACGAGACCUUCGGGUCUAGUGGCGCACGGGUGCGUAACGCGUGGGAACCUGCCCUUAUGUUCGGAAUAACUCCCCGAAAGGGGUGCUAAUACCGGAUAAUGUCUUCGGACCAAAGAUUUAUCGCCUUUGGAUGGGCCCGCGUUGGAUUAGCUAGUUGUUAGGGUAAAAGCCUACCAAGGCGACGAUCCAUAGCUGGUCUGAGAGGAUGAUCAGCCACACUGGGACUGAGACACGGCCCAGACUCCUACGGGAGGCAGGAGUGGGGAAUAUUGGACCAUGGGCGAAAGCCUGAUGCAGCAAUGCCGCGUGAGUGAUGAAGGCCUUAGGGUUGUAAAGCUCUUUUACCCGGGAUGAUAAUGACAGUACCGGGAGAAUAAGCGCCGGCUAACUCCGUG
rnacentral:rRNA from 1 species